CAGUCGCCGCGGGAAUACAGAGGGUGCGAGCGUUAAUCGGAUUUACUGGGCGUAAAGCGUGCGUAGGCGGCUUCUUAAGUCGGAUGUGAAAUCCCUGAGCUUAACUUAGGAAUUGCAUUCGAUACUGGGAAGCUAGAGUAUGGGAGAGGAUGGUAGAAUUCCAGGUGUAGCGGUGAAAUGCGUAGAGAUCUGGAGGAAUACCGAUGGCGAAGGCAGCCAUCUGGCCUAAUACUGACGCUGAGGUACGAAAGCAUGGGGAGCAAACAGGAUUAGAUACCCCCGUAGUCCCUGUCGCUUAUAC
rnacentral:rRNA from 1 species